rnacentral:rRNA from 1 species
GACGAACGCUGGCGGCGUGCCUAAUACAUGCAAGUAGAACGCUGAAGGAGGAGCUGCUCCUUCGGGUGAAGUGGGAAACGGGUAAGAACCCGUUGGUUACCCUGCCUGGUGGGGGGGAAUAACUUUGGAAAAGAUAGCCUAAUACCGAAUAACGGAGGAGGUGCAUGGACUUUGCUUAAAAGGGUCAAUUUCACCACUACCAAGUGGGACUGCGUUGUAUUUGCUAGUUGGUGGGGUAACGGCUCACCAAGGCGACGAUACAUAGCCGACCUGAGAGGGUGAUCGGCCACACUGGGACUGAGACACGGCCCAGACUCCUACGGGAGGCAGCAGUAGGGAAUCUUCGGCAAUGGACGGAAGUCUGACCGAGCAACGCCGCGUGAGUGAAGAAGGUUUUCGGAUCGUAAAGCUCUGUUGUAAGAGAAGAACGAGUGUGAGAGUGGAAAGUUCACACUGUGACGGUAUCUUACCAGAAAGGGACGGCUAACUACGUG